UUCAGAUUGCAGUCUGCAACUCGACUGCAUGAAGUCGGAAUCGCUAGUAAUCGCGGAUCAGCAUGCCGCGGUGAAUACGUUCCCGGGCCCUUGUACACACCGCCCGUCACACCAUGAGAGUCGGGAACACCCGAAGUCCGUAGCCUAACCGCAAGGGGGCGCGGCCGAAGGUGGGUUCGAUAAUUGGGGUGAAGUCGUAACAAGGUAGC
rnacentral:rRNA from 1 species